UCGGAUUGCAGGCUGCAACUCGACUACAUGAAGCUGGAAUCGCUAGUAAUCGCGAAUCAGAAUGUCGCGGUGAAUACGUUCCCGGGUCUUGUACACACCGCCCGUCACACCAUGGGAGUCGGAAAUGCCCGAAGUCAGUGACCUAACCGAAAGGAGGGAGCUGCCGAAGGUGGAGCCGGUAACUGGGGUGAAGUCGUAACAAGGUAAC
rnacentral:rRNA from 1 species